CCUACGGGCGGCAGCAGUGGGGAAUAUUGCACAAUGGGGGAAACCCUGAUGCAGCGACGCCGCGUGAGUGAAGAAGUAUUUCGGUACGUAAAGCUCUAUCAGCAGGGAAGAAAAUGACGGUACCUGACUAAGAAGCCCCGGCUAACUACGUGCCAGCAGCCGCGGUAAUACGUAGGGGGCAAGCGUUAUCCGGAUUUACUGGGUGUAAAGGGAGCGUAGGCGGCAGGGCAAGUCUGGAGUGAAAUCCCACGGCUUAACCAUGGAACUGCUUUGGAAACUGUGCAGCUGGAGUGCAGGAGAGGUAAGCGGAAUUCGUAGUGUAGCGGUGAAAUGCGUAGAUAUUAGGAGGAACACCAGUGGCGAAGGCGGCUUACUGGACUGUAACUGACGUUGAGGCUCGAAAGCGUGGGGAGCAAACAGGAUUAGAUACCCCUGUAGUC
rnacentral:rRNA from 1 species